GGGAUAAGAGUGAGCGCUGAUGACAAAACUGCUGUGGUGACAGGAAGGAGGCAGGGGAUUCAGAGGCAGAGGCUCCCCAGAAUGUUUUCACAUGGUGUGAGAGAAAAGGGUGUGAAAGGAAUCGGGAAGGCUUCUGGGAGUCAGGGUUGUGGGGUGCUGGAAAAGUCCCAUAGCCUUGGCCACUGGGACGUGAGCAUGGACAACAGAGGAGGUCGAUUCGGUGCAGUACGUGUGAUGCAGAGAUGACUGCAUCUGGGGGAGCAGUGGGUGCGGAGCCAGGUCAAGAAGGGAGGACACACCUGAGAACACCAAUUAGGCCAGUGGCAGAAUCACAGGUGGUGCUGAGAGAACGCAGGAUGGUGCAGGUGGGACAGUAUCAUGCUAUGCAGUAGAGGAGGAAAGCAGGCCCAGGAGCUGGGAGCUGGGAGCUGGGAGAGCAGAGGGUGAGUUUGCAGCCUGUGGAAAAGCAGGACAGAGGAGAGGUAUUUCCCAAUGGGCAGGAAGAAUGAGCUGGAGCAGGUUAUGGAGCCAAGCAGCUUAAAGAGGUGAGCUUGUCGAGAGGAUCAGGGAAUAUGUUCCAGCAAGAGAGAAUUUGCAUCAAAAUCCUUGGUUUUGCUGUUCAGGAGUGGAAGAAAUGAAUGGAGCUCUUGCUUGUGAAGCAAAAUAUUCAAAAGGAGAAAGACAGCCUGAAGCUCUAAGGUGUAGGGGUUGGGGCACAAGGGUGGGGGUGGGGAGUCCUAUGCCAAGGACCAAUAAGGAGGGAGAGACAUGGGAAAUCCAGAGACUUUACAGUCUAUGAAGAAGCUCAUGGAGGGGAAAUCAUGGUACAGGUAAGACAAGCAAAGAAUGAGGGAGAGGUAGGAGGAGACCAAAGUGGAAGGAGGGUGCAGCGGUUUUGGCACCUCAGAAAUGUUGGGACAAUGUAUCAGUGAGGGAGAAGGUGAGAGGAAGGAAGGUCAGGGGGAUGCCAUCUAGAGAGAAAACCAGUGUCUCCCUAGUGGCAGAACGGAGAAGGUAGAAUGAUCAGAGCUCAAAUCAGACAGCAGAUGAAUGAAUACAGCAUGUUAGGGACAAAGAAGCUGGCAGUGGCAGCAACAGUGAGGGCAGGUCAGGCUGGGAGCAGACCUUAAGGAAAAGACUGCUGAGUGCAUUGACUGACCCUGAGGUGGUAGGGAACGUAGACUAGAUGCUGAAGACCAAUCAGAGGGUUUCAGAAAGACAACAGUGUAAGAAAAGGCAGAGGAUGGCUGGUGAAAGGGUCCAUACUUUAUCCAGUCUGGAGUCAGAAGGCACUAUGUGGGUCGUGAGAUGGGUCAGUGAUGUUGAUGGAAAAAGAAAGGGACAGGAGGGGCGUAAGAGGAGAAAUAACCUCAUGAAUUUGUGGGGGGGGCGGGGUGGUGGAGCAGAGCUGAGCUUUGAUAGAGGAGCCAACAUGGAAAACAGGAAGAUUGAACAAAGAAUUCCCAAAAUGGGGGCUGCGCCAGACCUCAUGGUGCAAAUUGUUGAAAUAAGCAGUAUUAAAGCCAGACCAUAAGAGCAGAGCAGAUCGAAGAAGCAAGAGCCCGGGCAUUUUUGCAAAUUGAGGCCCUUAGAAGAAAAUGGGGGAAAGGGCCAAAGUAACUGGGGUUACAGAGAGGGCAUCAGGAAUCACUGUACAUGAAGACAGCACCUCCACAGAAACCACUGGCAAGGGAACUCAGGAACUUGGUGAUGGACUCAUGUGGUUUGAGUCCAGUAUGUGGGCAGAAAGAUGCUUACAAAAUGGCAGAGGAGGGACUGCUAAGCAAUGCACAGAAGACAAUUUGCAGUGAUCACUAAAUCCUUAGUUUGCUAUCCAAGAGUGGGAGAAAGAUAUGGAGGUGCAGCUUUCGAAGCAAAAUAUCCACAGAUGUCAUGAGGCUCCAAUGGGGGUGGGGGGCACAGGCUUCAUACCUAGUGGAGCAUCAUAGGAUUAGUGUGAAAAGUAGGUCGGUAGCAAAUGGGGAUGCAGCAAUACAGAGUAAAUCCAGUGGUAGUCAGGGUGGCAGAGAUGGGUAGAGGCAAGGGUAGUUCUUUCUUGGGAGGCAAGAGUGGAGGAAAGGUAGAACAGGACGGAGGCCAGAACCUGUGUAAGAAGGUCUUAAAUCCUAAACACAGGUGUAGUGAAGGUAGUGUGGCCAAGAGGGAAAGAGGAAACAGUGGAUUUGGGCAGCCGCAAUAGCAAGCAAUAUGGGCAGGGGUGCAUGGGCCCACUGGGGCCCUAUCCAAGGUAAACGGAAAUAAUGGAGACGAAGAAAGGAGGAAGAGGAGGAACUGGCGGGACUGGCUGUAGAGUUUUGUAGGAACUCACUUCAUGGAACAGAAAGAGAAAAGAGGAAACAAGGCUGGAGUGGAAGAGGGGAAGGAAAAGGCAGCCUAAGGGAAGGCGCUGGCCUGAAUCAGUGGAAGAUCUGGAGGAGCAACAGAAAACAGUUCUUGAAGAGAAGGUGGGAUAGAGAGAGGAUGGAAGAGUUUGAGCGGUGAGGACAGCAGGUUAAAGUAGUGAGCACAUCCCUAUGGAGAAGAGAUGACUGAGUCCGAUGAAGCGACAGGCCCUGGGUGGUUGAGAGAAUUAUGGGCCACAGAGAGGCAGGUACCUUGCCUUGGCCAAGGAAGCAAAGAGAAGAAAUCUCACAAGGGGAAAGGCUUCAAGAAAGAAUGUGGAAGUGGGACGAUGAGGCAGCACAACAGGGGAGUCACCUACAGAAGACAGGGUGGAGGGGCCCCCAGGGAAGGAUGGAGGGCAGACAGCGUGGUGGAAGGGAGCUGGGCAGGACAGCCACAGGUGGAGCGAGGUGAAGGGGGAGGUCCCAGAGUAGGAACAAAGGAAUUUGGAGUGCUCAGAGCAGCCUGCAAGGUUUAGCAUGGGGAAGGGAAAGUGUAAAAGGGGUGGACGGCAAUGGGCAGGAAGGAAUGGCUGCUCUUAAAGCCUUGAACUUUGUUGCAAAAGUGUGACUCUUGGGCCAGGGUCUUUGCUAUGGAUGCAGAGGGGAAGGGUGGGUUAGGUGGAAGGGAUGGGGUUUGGGAUGGGAUUUGGGUUGGGAUUGACUGGGUUGGAAAGGAGGGAAGGAUUGGGAGCAGUGGGGUGUGAGUGGGAGAGGAGGUAGGGAACCAGAUGGGGAGAAUCGAGCCAAGUUCUGGGUUGGAGGAAAUGUACUUAUUUAACUGAGCUGGUGGGUUACAUAUCUAAUGUUGCGGGUGAUGAAUACAGGCUGGGGAAGCCGUCUAAAUCCACCAAAAGAAGUAAAUGAAAGUGGUUUCUUGUAGGUCGAAAGGUCAAGGUAAAUGGCUGGUUUUUAGGAAACAACUGAGAACUCGGGAAACAAAGGGGGAAGUUUCUGCAGGCCGAUCUUGUAAGGGAUCUGAAAAAAGGAGUGGGGAUUAAGGAAAACCGACAAUAGUAAGUACCCAUAAGAAACAGGUUGAGGCCGAAGAUACUGACACAGUGCCUAAGAGUCCUAUCAGGUGGGAGGACAAGAAGUAUGGGGUGGGGAGGUAUUAAAAGAACAAGUUUCCAAUGCAGACUGGUGUUUGGGGUCAGAGGCGUGUUAAAGGGCAAAUAGGGAAGGAAUGAGGUGGUUCCAAGCAGACAGUUCCAGGCCUAAUGGGGGUGGGGAGGCAAAAGAUGAGAUGUGUUGAGUGGGGAGUUAAAUGGCAAGCACUAGAAUGGUCUAGGUGUGAAAUGAGGGAGUAAUGUCAGGGAGUCAAGGUGGCCGUCCAUAGCAGUGAUUCUUAUCUGGCGUAGGGGGUGAAUUUCACGUGGAGGGAGGUCUCUGGACAUGGAAUCCCAGGCAGGGCUAUCCAAUCAUCCGAGGGGUGAGCAGUGUUCAGCUCAGAAAAAGUAAGGGAAAAAAAAGCAAUCUCUAAAGGAACACAGAUAAUAGCAAAAGAAGAAACCAAGCCCAAAAGAUGCUUCUGAUAGGCCGCCUUGGGGUCCUGCAUUCUCGGGUGAGAAUCACUGGUGGACACGGGAGGAUGGAGAGCCGGGCAGACAUGUAGAGUGUGAGGGGAAGACGCAUGUGCAGUGGGGCUGAUGGAGGCAUCAGGAUCAAGACUGUCAGGUGUGGCAACACAGUUCCCGACAGACCAGGACAAGGAUGACGGCGAGCAAAUGGAUGUAGCCGAAAAGGCACCAGGUACCCUGGUGGUGGAGCUGGGGUUUCCAAUGCCUCGGUCCCAGACUCGAGGACUCAGGUGGAGGAGUGAGGCCUAGAGAAGGGCCUAGUGACAAAGAGGAUGUGGGCUGUGCGGGUGAGAGCAGAGAGCAGGGGAUCUGUUGUCACGGGAGUGAAGGUGCAAAGGGAAAUGGAGACAGUGUGGAAGGAGAGCGUCUUGGAGACAUGGGUGCUAAGGAGGGAGGAGGCAAGAGGAGGGUGAGACUCACAGGAGCACCCAGGAGGAGCAGAGGAGCCGGGUUUCAGGCAGGGCAAGAGAGUCAGGUUGAGACUGGGUGUGUAUUGGGGGGACGAGGAUGGGCAGAGAGUGAGACACCAGUGAGUGACAAAGACAAAACUACUCUGGUGACAGGAAGAUGGUAGGAGAUUCAGAGGCAGAUGUUCCCCACACUGUUUUUACACAGUGUGAAAGAAAGAACGUGAAAGGAAUCAUGAAGGUUUAGGGGAGUCAGGGUUGUGGGGCCCUGGAAAGGACGCACAGCCUGGGCCACUGGGACGUGAGCUUGGACAGCAGGGCGUGUGGAUUCAGUGCAGUACGUGUGACACAGAGAGGACUGCAUCUGGUGGAGCAGUGGGUGCGGGGCCAGGUCAAGAAGGGAGGAUACACCUGAGAACACGAGUUAGGCCAGUGGCAGAAUCACAGGUGGUGCUGAGAGAACGCAGGAUGGUGCAGGUGGGACAGUACCGUGCUAUGCAGUAGAGGAGGAAAGCAGGAGAAACGACCAACCUGGGCCCAGGAGCUAGGAGCUGGGAACUGGGAGAGCAGAGGGUGAGUUUGCAGCAUAUGGGAGGGCAGGACAGAGGAGAGGUGUUCCCCAGUGGGCAAGAAGAAUGAGUUGGAGCAGGUUAUGGAGGCCAGCAGCUUACAGAAGUGAGCUUGUUGAGAGGAUCAGGGAAUGUGUUGCAGCAAGGGAGGCAUGCCAAGCGCAAGAGUGUGGGUGUGAACUUAGAGAAUCCUCCUUUUUGCCCAAAAGGGGCAAAGUGUUUGACGCAGGUCAUGGAGGAGAAAGCAUGGUGUGGGUAAGGCAAGGGAGGAAUGAAGAAGAGGUGAGAUGAGGCCACAGAAACAGGGUGUAGAGGUGUUGUCACCUUGGAAACAUUGAGGACCGUGUGUCAAUAAAGGGCAUGGCGAGACGAUGAAAGGCCAGAGGACACAACAGAGAGAGGAAACCACUGUUCCUCAGAGGCAGAACUGAGGAUAUAGGAUGGUUAGGGGUGAACUGAGACAGCAGAUGGAGUCAGUACAGCAGGGUGAGGACAUGGAAGCUGGCAGUGGUGUCAUCAGUGGGGGCAGGGCAGGAAGGGGUCAGAGUUCAGGAAAGAUUCCUGAGCUGUGGAUUGACUUGGAGGUGGCAGGGCACGCAGGACUGGAUGUUGAAGAUGAAAAGGAGUUUCUGGAAGAUGACAGUGGAAGGCAACACUGUGUGUAGACUGUGCAAAUUUACAUUGGCAUACUGCAUGGAAUGAGAGAGUCUGGCAGCCAUUCUAAGGCAGUUAUUGGGAUGUAAAUUGGAUGAUGGAAGUUUAUGGUAAAAGAAGGGACAGGAGGCAGGUAGGAGGGGAGAUAACCUUAUGAAUUUGUGCAGGGCUUAGCAUCAGUAAAAGGGCCAACAUGGAAUAGGGGAAGGUGGAAUGCAGAGUUCCCAAAGUGGGGGCACUGGCAAAUCUCAGGGGCAAGUUGGUGGUAUGUUCAGUAUCAUGGCUGAGUGUAGGAGCAUUUUAGGGAAUAGAAGUUAAAUCCUAGACGACAAGCGAGUGGGGUAACAACACUUUACCUGUCAUGGUAACUACUUCAUUGAAUAGGAAAACAGAAAAAGAAGAAACCUUAUAGAGGGUGAUGGUAAAGCAACCCCAACCGAUAUGGAAGGCAGUGUUGGCAAUCAUUGAAGCUCAGGAUCGUGAAAGUAAACAAUUAACAAUGUAAAAUUUGCAAGUGUGGGGGUUGGACAUAGGUUACUAUGUGUUUAAUGUGGUCUCCAACAAAAUUAGCAGAGCCAAAAUGAGAAGGAAGUAUUACUCUGUUUAACAAGAUUGAAAUUAAAGGGACAGUAUACAGUUUAAACUACUUUGGGAUUUAGGAAUGUCAGAGUUGAUAGGGUAGGUAUUGUUGCCCCUUGAUCCACAGUAUGGAAUAAUGGCAAAGAGGAAAAGUAGAUAGAAAGAACUUGUCAUUAGGGAAUUUGGUGGCUUCCUUAAAGCUCCUUGAGGGAAACACUUGAUGAAUGCUUAGAGUCAGGAGAAUAAACGGUCCCAUAUAGAGAUAGGUUUAUGAAGCAGAGUCUGAAGGAUGAGCUUCAUCAGCAAUCCUCAGAACGUCAGUUCUACUAGCCAAGGAUGCAGGUAAGUAUGUCGGACACCAAGAGAACAGGAAGGAAAUGUUUUGAACACUGAGGUGGGUCAUGAGGAAGCUUAUACAUAUUCACAUUGUGAAUCGAUUUCAAGGACAGAUGAACAAAGACUGGGCGGUACCAAUAGAGCAGGGUUUUGUUUUGUUUUUCCCCUAAGGCAAAAGGCAGAAAUGAGUGGGUAUACCAUGAUUAAAUUGCAUUCUGCAGAGAUAGGAUCAUUUAAGAAAAGUCAGCAACAAAAAUUAGAGACAUUGAAGAUGAUGGGGUAGAAAAGGGGUAUCAAAUAGAUUAGGAAGAUGGCUUGAAAGGAAAUGAGGGAAAUUUCAGUGAGUUUGAGGAAUGGCAGACUGGAUGUGUGACAAAUGAGUGGGUAAAUAAGGAGAUCUCAGACUGAGAAUCCUGGCAGAUCUUUCAAUGGGUUAGACUGUAGGAAUAUUGAUUUUAAAGCCAGGCUGAAGCAAAUUCUAGUGAAAAAGGAAGGGGAAAGGGUGGCUGAAUCGUAUGUUCUACCAAUCCUGCUUUUUUUAGUAUUUGAGUUAAAAUUCAGAUUAAAUAUUUGGCUUAGAAGAAUGCAAAGUUUCACUGAGCCUCAUUAAUAUAUGGAUCCCAGUGGGUGAGUGGAAGUGAGUUAAAGUAAAAAACUCUGAGGCAAAUCUUACUUAACUGAAGUUGUGUUUUUAGUACAGAAUGCCAAGUUCAUAUGGUUAAUACUGAACAAAAAAUAAUGGAAGGGCGACUACAGUAGCUUAAGAUGGCACUUUAAGGAAGUGUAGGCAGAAAGUCAAGAAAUUAAAAUAAUUAUGAAUCAUUAUAUGGCAGGCAAUAUUUCCAAUGAAAAUCAGAGAAAAUAACUCACAUACAUGUACUGUUACAGCUGAUCUUAGUAUGAAUAUUUUCUAUUAAAGACUGUUUUAAAAUAAGUUAUUAAUAUUUGUCGAAAUGGUUCCAGAUAACAAGAAAUAUGAUGCACUAAAACCUGAUAAAAGCAAUAUAAAGAUUAGAAUGGUUCUGAAUAGGUAGUGGAAUAAAAAGUUAAGUUGGUAAUGGCAUUAAAAAGGUCCAACAUGGGGAAUAAUUGGUAGAAUGUUGUGUAUAUAAUAUAUAUUGUUACGGGUGCAAUAAAUAUUCAGGGGAAACAGAGCUGCUGAAAGAGAAUGAAUGCUUAGAAGGAAUGUUGCCUUAAAGGCUUUUCUAAAACUUUUUAGGUAAAGGACAAAUUCUGGGAGGACAAAAGAUAAUAAGUAGGUCUAACUAUAUAGAGACUUAGGAUGUCCAUAGUCUUUCAAGAAAUUGCCCAACCUUUGUGAGAAGGUGUUAUGGUAAUAUAUUGAUGUUGGGUUAAAGCAAAUUUUUUCAGAUAGGGUAGAUUUUUAUACAUUUAUAAAGUAAAGGGGAGUAGGAAAGAUUAAAGAUAGAUCAAAGAAAGGAAUAAUUGAUGGAACAACUUUCUGGAAGAGAUCAGAGGAUAUGUGUCUUUUGAACUCUGGAAGACUUGAUUUUAGAGAGGAUAAAGGAAGAAAGCGGAUAAUUCUAGAAUUAAACACCAAAAGGUUCUAUGUGUCUGGCACCAUGUGAAGCAACUUACCUAUUAUUUCAUUUCAUUUCAUCCUAUAACAGUCCUAAGAGAUCAAAUAAUUUGUCCAAGAUCACACAGUCAGUAUGUAGCAGGGCCAGAAUUCAAAUCCUCAUCUGUCUAUCAAACUCAUAUUCCUUUCUAUUAUGCUAUACUGUUUUCAAGUUGAAGGAAAUCAAACCAAGAAUUUCUGUUUUUUCACUGUGAUUAUAAGGAAAAAUAUUAUUUUUCUGAAAUGAGACAUACUGAUGUUUAAGACCUUGAGGUGAUAGGUAAAAUUUGGAAUAUCUGUGAUGGGAAAAUGCAAAAAGGAAGGAAUGGGUAAAAGAUACCUAUUACCAUCUAUGCCCUGGUAUUUCACUUCUUCCAUUGCACAACAUAGACUUUAGAUUGGCCAUGGAUUAAAAAUUUGAGAAUUCUGACAAAAAACUAAAUAGAAAGGAGUUUGUUUUUUAAGUAGGUAUAUGAUGGGUCAAAUAUAAACUUACUACUAAUAAAACUUUAAACAAUUCCCUAAAUGCCAAACUUUUAUAAACAAAAAUCAAACAAACCAUCAAGCAAAUGAGUCCAUAGCCAGCAGACCAAAUGUUGAAAUCUCUGGGCUAAUUUGUAAGAUCUGUGUUUUAAAACUCCUUAGUGAAGAGGGGCAAGAAAACCUCUCCUCUUUUUCCUCUCUUGGUGGAAAUGUUUUCUCUUGUUGUUGUUGGUUUUUUCCUAUACUAUAUGUAAUUUCUAUAUUGUUGUUUUGUGUAUUUUGGUAUUAUAAAAUUGUACUUCUUAGAUUCUGUUAAGAAUACUUCCUGGGGUGUGAGCCACCUGAGUUAUUAGUUAGCAAAAUGAACCCGGGGAAGUGGGAAGAGCUAGUAUUCUCAAUUGGUAAGGGAUUGAUUCUUCAAUGGGUUCAGCAUUUCACUUCCCUCUGAAAUUAAGUGGCAAAGUAAUAGCAUCCCUUAAAAAACAGGACGCUGGUGAGAGGUAGAAUAGCAGGAGGAAUUCUGAAACAUGGAGGGAUGGCUACUGGAAAAGAACUGAUGAAGUGCAGAGUCUCCCCAGACAAUGGUAGAAACCACAGAACUACAUUAAGAUUGGGCCCAAAUACUAGUUUAGAAAAGGGUAAAUAAAACUAGCUUUACUUAAGAAUACAGCCAGCUUAAUGACUGGCUAGUGGACAUAUUUCAGACAAAUCUAACUGGAGAGAAAAACAGACCAGGAGAGAAAGCGAAGUUAUAAGGAAAUGGAACUAGAGAAACCUCACAAAGGGAUAAAGGAGGUAAUUAAAGGUUAAAGCCAGAUAGCCUCAAGCUCAAAGGAAAAAUACUGGAGGCCAGAUAGGAAAGUGCCUUCCUACUCAGGGGGUUAUGGAUCCAGGGUGGCUAAAGAACAGAAGUAGAGUUCCACCCAGGGCCAGAGGGAACAAUCUGGGAUUCAGACACAGCAGUGGUGCCAACGUGAAUCUACCUCGUGCUAGAGUCUGAGUAGCCUGGUCUAUCACCCAACACAGAUAAGACUGGACAGGGGCUCCCAGGAACCAAUAUCUAAGAAGGGAGUUUGGAGAGGGGCUAAAAGAAAGCAGGUUAAGCCCCAAAUGUAACUGAAUGAUGACCAGGGAUAACUAUUUACUAGUGCUUUUAUGAUUUCUUGUAACUCUGUAACUAUCCCAGUAUUUGUUAAUUUUUUAACUUGUUUCUCCUGUACUUACGAGCAGUAAAAGUUGUUCAAAACA